ensembl:lincRNA Gm26889 predicted gene, 26889
CUACUCUCACUGGCCAGAACCCUAAGAACUGUUAGAAGACCGAUAAUUUGCCUCCAAAUCACUCACUUAAUAGACGAUGAAACUAGGAUCCAAGUCCAAGAAUUCUGAAUUUUUAUGGCCUAACCUUUAGAAAUUAAACCAGUUGUAAACCUAGGGUUUAUAUCUAAGCCUGGUUUUCAUCCCCAAACUCACUCCCCAGUCCACCCCAUUUUUCUGAGUCUUAAUUCUAGUAAGGUUAGCUAGGAACCCCACCCUCAGAGAAGCGAAUCCUUUUUACUAAAGCCACAGCAAUAGGCUCACUUGUAGCCCACUGGAAACUCUUCUUUUGGAAUUCCACCAGGGAUAACCUGGCUUUUUUGAGCCUCACAGGUUCUUUGAAUAUAUUGUUAUCAUUCCUGCCUUACAUUGAUUUUUUUUUUUUAACUUGAGAACCUGCCAGGAUCAUGGCUCAAUUUGGCACAUAGCUAAAUCUCCUGUCAACACCUCACAUUCUGCCUGGAUUCUUUUCUUCAGGUUCAUAUUACAAUAGGCAAGUUCACCUAACUGAGAACCGUACAGUUAAACAUCCUUAUACACUCGCGGUGCGUUGAGACCACCGAUGAAUUCAUUUGCUCAUUUUUCUACCCUGUUGGGACCGAUGUUCUUAUGACAAAAGCCAAUUUAUUUCUGAGUUGUCAGGGCAAGAAGUGCAUGUUAGUAUUCAGCAUCCUAUCUUCCUGUGUAUUUCUGGAAACAUUCUGGCGAGAUUCAAUGCUCCUGCCUCGGAAUGUUUACUUCAUCUGUCCAGAUAUCUGUGAAUGUGAUCUCAGUCACGGCUUCCCACUCUGUGUGUGGCCUCCAAACACACCUCAAUUCAUCUCAUGGAUCUAGGUGGGAAUAUAUGGAUAUUCUAGGGAAAUGCAUUGCAGCUGUUAGGAAAGGAAGCAAAACAAGGUUGCUGCCAGUUCAGCAUGCCAUCUCCAGGCAGUUUCGGAGUAUCUCCUGACACCCAAAGCACUGGCAAGCCUCAUGCUCCCCCAAGAGCAGCGUGGUGUUUUGAAUUCACUCUUCAGUGAGUUUCAUGCAAUGAGAGAGAGGGAGAGGGAGAGGGAGAGGGAGAGAGACAGACAGACAGACAGACAGACACACACACACACAGAAAGAGAGAGACAGAGACAGAGACAGUGAGGGAAGCAUUUCAAGGUACCUGUAACUCUAUUAGCUUCUAUUACCUUCAUGCAACGCCCUGCGAGCUAAAGCCUCAAAUUCUUCAAAACUGUGGAGCAGGUAACAAUGUUCUUCCUUCGGGGUGGAAGCCAUGUCAUUCAGUUCCCGGAUAUUCCCCUGCCAAAUCCCGAACGUGAAGAUCUCCACUCCGAAAUCCCGAAGCGAUGCUGCAAUAGGUCUGGGGUCUCCGCCAUUGGAAUAGCCGUCGGUGAUGAGAAAUAUGACUUUGGUGGAGUUUUCUCUAGAGUGACGGUCUUACCGCGGCUUGCUGGAAGGCGCCCUUGGUAUAGGUGCCACCACCGCGGUAGGUGAUGGCCGGGAUCUCGCGGCUGAGCAGCGCGCACUUGUGUUGGUGCGCGCGGCUGGUGGAGAUGUAAUCCACGCGCGCCACCACGUUGUUCUUGGAUGAGAAGGUGACGAUGGCCACACGCGUGGCCGUGGACACCACGGGGAAGUCGGACAGCAGCUUGCGCACGAACUUGAGCUCGUUGAGGAAGUUGGUUUGGCCCACGCUGGACGACUCGUCCACCAGGAAGACGAGCUCCAGGCUGCCGCUGAGCUCCCGCAGUCGCCGCACGCGGCUCCGGAACGCGCGGCCCAGGCGCUCCACUUUGCUCCCUGCUGCCUCCUCCUCACUGGACGCGGGAGGUACCGCCAGUCUGCCCAGAGCCCCCGGAGAGGCCUCGGGGAACAGGCGGAAGCUGAAGUUGAGCGAAGGGGCCACGGGCUGGAAGUUGGUCCAGCCCGACACCAGUGCCAGAGCCCAGCAACAAAAGGCCAGGCGCGACCACAUCCCGCUGGGGACCGAGCGGUGGCCCCGGGGAGUGCAAGGCGACAGUCCCCGAGCGCGCAGAGAGGCGCCAAGGUUCCCGAACUAAGCGGAGGGGACCCGGGGUAGCAACCGCGAACCUCAGCGUCCUUGCAUGUGACACUGGGGACACGAUCCAGACUCCUCUGGCAGCUCGGGGACUCGGGAGGGACUGGAGGGAUGUGCUCCUCUGACUCUCGGCUAUUUGGUUUCUCUCCUCCUCCUUCUCUCUCCCGAAGCCUAU